CGGGAACGGCCAGGAGACCGGAGGGCAGCGGUGGGAGACCGGGAGCGAGCGGAGCCGUGCAGCCCUGCCUGCCUGCAGGUCCAGUAACGUCCUAUUGCCACAGAACUGUGGGAUGCCACAUUGCGCUGACUCCAAAGAUCACACCGAGGAACCUGCAGCUUUUCAGAGGGGGACAAUGCUCAGGAUGGCACUGGGAAGAGAUGAAGCACUGCUCUGCAUUCCCCACCCACCCAUCCUGCAUGGCCCUGAUUCUCCAGGAUCUGGGCCGCCUCUGUGGCUCUGCGUUCCUUCCCAUCAAGCUGGGGAGCCACCCCAUUAAAACCCGUUACCUGCAGGCCCAGCGUGGCCAGGGAAUGUGCUGCUCCAGGAGGGUGCUGUGCUCUGGUGCUGGGGGCUGCAGAGAUGGUAGGGCUUUGUCCCCUGCUCUGCGCUGUCACACCUUCAUCCAGGCAGCAGCUGCAGGGGGGCAGAGCUCUGUGUGCCCCAACUUGAGUGGCUGCAGACCUUGCAGCCCAAGGGUCUGUUUGCUGGAGAAGAAGCAUGCUGUCUGGUUUUGGGGUCCCCGCCCCGCAGUGGUGUGGGAGCAGCCCCAUGGGAAUGGAUCACAGCCCAGAGGGACAGGGGCUGAUUCUCUGUGUUCCUUGGGGUUAUGGUGAUAGAGGGGGUGGGAGGACCAUCUCCUGUCAGAUCCCUACGGCCACGUAUGAACACAGAGCAGUGCCAGGAGGGCUCUGCGGCUGAGCACUGCAUGUCCCUGCAGCCACCCGAUGGGACGGACCGGGACCCCUCUCCAUUUCACGCCCUUUAACUCAGGGUUCGAGCUCCGGGCUGGGGACGAGGGGCUGGGAUCCCGCAGCACGGCGUUGUCCGGCCCCUCCUCGCUUCCCGUCGCAGCAAACCGGGGCCGAGCUGAGAACCGGGAAGGGGGGUGUUGCCGAGCCCCCUCCUCCCCGCGUCGGUGCAUCCUCCCCGAACUCCCUCUCGGUUGUUUUGCACAAACCCUGAAAUAUUCAUGGCACUGCGCCGAGUGUCUCUUAAUGAAUUUUUCAUCAAAACCUUAUCAGGGAGCCAAAAUACACCUCUCCCCCACCCCAAACUCCAGCCGAAAUCGAGGAGGGACCGGGCCCGCCGGUACCGUGCCGCCGGAGGAGCCGAGCCCGGCCCGAGGGCGACGGC
ensembl:lncRNA